AGCUGGUGUUGGGAGGCGGAGACUUGAGCAAUUGCCAGCAAUUCCAGAGGGCAUUGCACUUGUCUCGGUCUGACAGUGCCAACG
rnacentral:pre_miRNA from 1 species